GGGCCUCUAGCUCAAUGGGCAGAGCUGCGGACUUUUAAUCCGUAGGUUGUGGGUUCGAGUCCCACGGGGCCCACCG
rnacentral:tRNA from 1 species